rnacentral:piRNA from 1 species
UCACUUCCUAGAUGGGAUGGCGGCCGGGC